rnacentral:lncRNA from 1 species
AAAAAAAAAAUAGAACUAGUACUUGGAAAGGGAACUACAUUUUCCCAAGGGUUCUGGAGGGAGAAGAUUGGGGAGCAGUGCACACACCGUCUGCCCAAGAGGAAAAGGCCAUUGGGGGGAAAACCGGUUGGGCCGCAUUGCCACAGGAGCCCAUUCCCUUUCCUCGAAGCUGGGACACACAAGACAAAAGUUUUCCCUGUUCUGGAGAAGAGGCUAAGGGGGUGGGGGGGUGGAGAAGGGGUGAGGGGAGGGAAGCCAGGGGGGUGGGGAAAAUUCCUCACAAGUGACAUUAUCUGUGACCUCCAGCUGCCGCUGCCGCUGCCGCUGCCCCAGCCCUGCACCUCCCUCCCUCUCUCUCCCCCUUCCCCAGGGAGCGCCGUUCCCGGGGAGCCCCCUCCCCUUUGUUUCCAGCCCUGUACCCCUCCCCCUUUCGCCGCCCGGGGCUGGGCGCUCCCUCCCAGGGCCCGGGAUCUGGGCCCCUCCCGGGCGAGCCACACCGGAGCCCAGGGCUCCCGGCCGGCGGAGGCUGCUCGUGCUCCGGAUACGCGGCCUGCAUGGUUCUCCAGCCCAGUGGAGGGAGGGAGUACCCCGGCCCGGGCCCCCGACUCUGGCUCGCGUCUUACCUGCUGCUCUGCCGAGCUCCGGGCGCCCCUGGGAGAGGGCGCAGACAGCUGCGGCCGCUGCUUCCCCGUGUCCACAAGCCGCGUCCCCGGGAGCUGGGGGCCGUGCACACUCCGGCUAGAGCCGCCGCCACGACCGCCCAAGCCCUGGGCCCGGCCCCGCAGCAAGCACCGGCUCCGGGGCCCCCCGCCCCCGCCGCGGGUAACCCUUCCCCGACAGCGCAGCUCCAGCGCCGCCGCCACCACCUCCUCCAGCCCGCCCUCCUUCCUUCCUUCCUCUUUCCCGGUGCCCAGCCCCUGGUCCCCAGGCAGGGCACCCCCGCGCUGGGCUCGGAAGUUUUCCCGGCAAGGGAAAGGCUGGGCUCGAGCCGCAGGGGUCCAGGGGCCGCCUCUCCCCAGGGGCUGGUGCCUAGGGGUUCUCAUACACAAUAGGGGCGCACGCGGAGCGCAGGGGAGACUCUCCCCGCCUUACCCCCAAAAGAGCUCACCUACCUAA